rnacentral:rRNA from 1 species
GUAACGAAUCUUCCGCAAUGCGCGCAAGCGUGACGGAGCAAUGCCGCGUGCAGGAUGAAGCCCUUCGGGGUGUAAACUGCUGUCAGGGAUUAGGAACACAAUGACCAAUCCCAAAGGAAGAGACGACUAACUCUGUGCCAGCAGUCGCGGUAAUACAGAGGUCUCGAGCGUUAGUCGGAUUCAUUGGGCUUAAAGCGUACGUAGGCGGGCCUGCAGGCGUCGUGUGAAAUCCCCCGGCUCAACCGGGGAAUUGCACGGCGAACCGCAGGCCUUGAGACAAGUAGGGGCGGUCGGAACGAUAGGUGGAGUGGUGAAAUGCGUUGAUAUCUAUCGGAACGCCGAAGGUGAAGACAGGCCGCUGGGCUUGUUCUGACGCUGAGGUACGAAAGCGUGGGGAGCGAACGGGAUUAGAAACCCCUGUAGUCC